UACAGAGGGGGCAAGCGUUAUUCGGAAUUAUUGGGCGUAAAGGGCGCGUAGGCGGCCUGGCAAGUGGAAGGUGAAAUCCCUCGGCUUAACCGAGGAACUGCCCUCCAAACUGCUUGGCCUGAGUCCGGGAGAGGUGAGUGGAAUUCCCAGUGUAGCGGUGAAAUGCGUAGAUAUUGGGAGGAACACCAGUGGCGAAGGCGGCUCACUGGACCGGAACUGACGCUGAGGCGCGAAAGCGUGGGGAGCAAACGGG
rnacentral:rRNA from 1 species